UUUUUUUUUUUUUUUUUUUUUUUUGAGACAGUGUCUUGCUCUGUCACCCGGCCUAGAGUGUGGUGGUGCAAUCACAGCUCACUGUAGGCUCGAUCUCCCGGACUCAAGUGAUUCUCCUGCCUCAGCCUCCUGAGUAGCUGAGAUUACAGGCGUGCACCACCCUGCUUGGCUACUCCUUUAUUUUUUUUUUUUUUUGUAAAGAUGGAGUCUUUGUAUAUUGCCCAGGCUGGUCUCAAACUCCUGGGCUCAGGCAAUCCAUCUGCCUCAGCCUCCCAAAGUGCUGGGAUCACAGGUGUGAGCCACCACACCCGGCAAUUUCCCCCUAUUUUAAGGCAGCUGAUUAGCAACCAUAAUUGCAUCUGCAUCUUUUAUUCCCACUUGCCUGAUAACAUAUUCGCAGGUUCCAGGGAUUAGGACUGGGGAGGAAAAUAAAGAUAGAUUGUGUCCCGGUAUACACUUAAGGGAGUAAGCCCCCUAUACAUGCUAGCGAAUGCUGUUACUAUUUUUGUUGUUAGAAUGUGAGUGAUUUCUCAUAGAAGGGGAGGAAAAGCUUUAGAAACAUGAUCUCGGAGCCUCAGUUUCCUCAUCUGGGAAAUGGGAAUAUCCCACUGGUUGUGCAGGCUGUGGUGCGGUUCCAGGGAGAUGCUGCCUGUGUUGAACUCCGUGCAGCACACAGCAGGUGCUUACAUGACGGCAGUUUGUGUUUUUCUCCUAUUAGUUGCUCGGCCCCAGAAGGAGCCUCAUUUCCCUCAUGUCUCCUGCAUGCUUUCUUCUGGUGUCAUCAUGGCCGGGUGGCGCUCUGGCUGUGCACACCAUGCAUUGGUGGCACUCUGGCUGUGACCAGAGCUCUGCCUAGAGCUUGUGACCCGGGCAUUUUUGCCUGGACUCGGCACACCUGACUCCCACUUGCCCAUGGUCAGGAACAGAAGUCAGACUCAGCUGUGGCUCCCAGCCCUUUCCUGGUGGUGACGCAGUGGCUGGGGCUCCAUUCUCCCAGCUGAGCACCCCAGGAGAUGGAGGGUACCCCUGUCCCCUAGCUCCUGCAAAGUCCCUGGGGGAUGCUCAUUGGCUGUGAACACCAUGGCCUAGGUCACUUAUUCCCCACUUCAGCCAAUUUCAGAGGGUGGCUGGGGGCUUCGAUGCUUUUGGCCAGCCUGGGUUCACAGGGUCAUUUGGGAGCCAAGCCAAGGAGAGGGUGGUACAGGUGCUGGGCAGAGGAAGCCGGGGCUGCUGCAGGCACCCUCUCCCUGCCCCGAGCCUGGCCUCCACCAAGCACUUCCUGACACCACCCACAGCCCAUCCUCCCAGACAUACUUCCUCACUCAUAAAACGUUGCAUGUGCACGAAUCUGGUCUCCCCUGAGGCUGCAGGCCACUUCCUGGGUGGGCUUAAGAGUUAGACUCCUGCCUAUAAUCCUAGCACUUUGGGAGGCUGAGGCGGGCGGAUCACAAGGUCAAGAGAUCAAGACCAUCCUGGCCAACAUGGUGAAACCCUGUCUCUACUAAAAAUACAAAAAGUAGCUGGGUGUGGUGGCGUUGCCUGUAGUCCCAGCUACUCGGGAGGCUGAGGCAGGAGAAUCGCUUGAAUCCGGGAGGCCGAGGUUGCAGUGAACCAAAAUUGCACCACUGCACUCCAGUCUGGUGACAGAGUGAGACUCUGUCUGAAAAAAUAAAAAGAGUUAGACUCUCAUUUAACAUAUAGUUUGCCUGUUACAUCUUGGACAGCAAGUCACCUGCUUUAUUCCCCUGAGCCUCAGUUUCUUCAUCUGUGACAUGGGUGUAGUACAAAUCAGACAUGCUUACUACGGCUGUUGUGAGGACCAAAUGAGCUAAUUGACAGCAGUGACUAGUACGGGGCCUGGCAUAUAGCAGGUGCUGGAAGGGGUGCGUCCGUUUCCAUCUUGUCUUUUCUGACAUGGGUACACACCUGAGCUGUGCUGCUGAGCUCCAGGACACACUCAGCCAGCCCUACUUCUCCAAGCCUCUGCUUUCUGAGUGGUAAAUGGCAUUCGUGAUCCCUGCCUGAAAUGAUGCCUGUCAAGCGCCAGUUCUCAGGGACAGUAAAUGGAGGCCAUGCUCAUUGUAACCUUCAUGACAAACUCCCCCCAGUUUCUGGUGCGAUGGGAACUUGGUAUCAGAAUGCCUGGG
ensembl:lncRNA